AUGCUACUGCACGAGGUGCACCUGGAUGAGCUCACUGAGGACGACAUCCUAUUGAAGCACACGGAAUCUGGGCACUACUCCGCGGCCUCCGCUUACAGGGCACAAUUUUUGGGCUUGGUCCUCUCCCCCAUGGACCAAAUGGUCUGAAAGGCUUGGGUCCCACCAAAAGUCAAGUUCUUUGCUUGGCUCGCGCUUCAGGAUAGGAUCUGGACUGCAGACAGAUUGGAGAAGCGAGGAUGGCCAAACUGUGGCCCCUGCCCCUUGUGCCAACGGGUGUAGGAAUGUGACCCGCAUCUUUUCUUCAGAUGCCGCUUCACUCUCAGGCUUUGA
rnacentral:rRNA from 1 species